ACGAACGCUGGCGACGCGCCUAACACAUGCCAGUCGAACGGAAAGGCCUGCUUUCCCUUGUGGAUUGCGGGUACUCGAGUGGCGAACGGGUGAGUAACACGUGAGUGAUCUGCCCCCAACUUGGGUAUAAGCCUGGGAAACUGGGUCUAAUUCCCGAUAGGACUGCAGGGUGGUGCCUGUGGUGGAAAACGAUUUUCUAGUGGUUGGGGAUGAGCUCGCGGCCUAUCAGCUUGUUGGUGGGGUAAUGGCCUACCAAGGCGGCGACGGGUAGCCGGCCUGAGAGGGUGGACGGCCACAUUGGGACUGAGAUACGGCCCAGACUCCUACGGGAGGCAGCAGUGGGGAAUAGUGCACGAUGGGCGGAAGCCUGAUGCAGCGACGCCGCGUGGGGGAUGACGGCCUUCGGGUUGUAAACUCCUUUCGACCGCGAGGAAGCCACCUGGUUGGAAGGGUGGUGACGGUAGUGGUAGAAGAAGCACCGGCUAACUACGUG
rnacentral:rRNA from 1 species